AACGCACGAGACCUGCGGACCUGCGGAGGGAUCAUUAAUGAGAAGCUGCCCCUCGUGGGUAGACCUCCCACCCUCUGUGAACUUACCUUUGUUGCUUUGGCAGGCCCGUCCUCUGGACCGCCGGCUUCGGCUGGCCCGUGCCUGCCAGAGGAUUCCAAACCCUGUCUGUCAGUGUUGUCUGAGUCUAUAUGAAAUCGUUAAAACUUUUAGCAAUGGAUCUCUAGAUCGGAAGAGCACACG
rnacentral:misc_RNA from 1 species